rnacentral:rRNA from 1 species
UUCGGAGGGGGCUAGCGUUGUUCGGAAUUACUGGGCGUAAAGCGCACGUAGGCGGCUUUGUAAGUUAGAGGUGAAAGCCCAGGGCUUAACCCUGGAAUUGCCUUUAAGACUGCAUCGCUAGAAUCGUGGAGAGGUGAGUGGAAUUCCGAGUGUAGAGGUGAAAUUCGUAGAUAUUCGGAAGAACACCAGUGGCGAAGGCGACUCACUGGACACGUAUUGACGCUGAGGUGCGAAAGCGUGGGGAGCAAACAGG